rnacentral:rRNA from 1 species
AUUGAACGCUGGCGGAAUGCUUUACACAUGCAAGUCGAACGGCAGCACGGACUUCGGUCUGGUGGCGAGUGGCGAACGGGUGAGUAAUGUAUAGGAACGUGCCCAGUCGUGGGGGAUAACGUAGGGAAAAUUACGCUAAUACCGCAUACGAUCUAGGGAUGAAAGCGGGGGAUGGCAAGACCUCGCGCGAUUUGAGCGGCCGAUAUCAGAUUAGGUAGUUGGUGGGGUAAAGGCCCACCAAGCCAACGAUCUGUAGCUGGUCUGAGAGGACGACCAGCCACACUGGAACUGAGACACGGUCCAGACUCCUACGGGAGGCAGCAGUGGGGAAUUUUGGACAAUGGGCGAAAGCCUGAUCCAGCCAUUCCGCGUGCAGGAUGAAGGCCCUCGGGUUGUAAACUGCUUUUGUACAGAACGAAAAGGUUUCUACUAAUACUAGGAGCUCAUGACGGUACUGUAAGAAUAAGCACCGGCUAACUACGUGCCAGCAGCCGCGGUAA